CUCUCAUUUGCAUGCAGGAGGUGGCAUUUGUUUUGCAGCAUUUGAGUGUUUGCAAACAAGCCUGGGAAGCAUUUUCACAGUGAGACUGUGUGGAACAUAUGGGGUUUUUGCCUGGUUUGCUGUUCAGGCAGAGGAAAGACGUGCAUGGGAAAACCUGUGACAUAGGAGGCUCUGAGGAAAUAUUAAAGGAGAGAAAUAAGUUUCUGAGGAUGGAAGGAGGAAGAGAAGAGCGUUAAGAUCCAACUGCUAAUGGACUGUGUGGCAUCUACCACUUCCAGGAGUUUGUAAUGGCCUUUGUGACUUAGAAAAGGAAGAUUUAAACUGAGGUUUAAUAAAUC